rnacentral:misc_RNA from 1 species
UUUCCGUAGGUGAACCUGCGGAAGGAUCAUUAUUGUAUAACCGAGGUGCGAGGGCUGUCGCUGACCCGAAAGGUCGUGCACUCCCGCGUGCUCUCACACAAUCCAUCUCACCCCUUGUGCACCACCGCGAGGGUCCCUUUCUGGCUCGUCCGCAGGGGGGCUCGCGUUUUCACACAAACUUGAAGUAGUGUAGAAUGUACUUUUUUUGCGAUAACACGCGAUGAAUACAACUUUCAACAACGGAUCUCUUGGCUCUC